rnacentral:lncRNA from 1 species
ACAUACACACAGACACACGGAAGCUCGGCUCUGUGCCACCUAAGCCAACAGGCGCCCGGGGUGGGGGGGCCUCCCUCGCCCUCCCUGUCCCCUGGGCUCCUCCGGCCGAGCCUCUGCCGUGCGCACAGCGGCUCUGCACCUGCUCCGCGUUACAGCGCAUCAGGGACUAGAUGUUUGUUCCUGGCGGGGAUUAGCACUGAGCUUACGAUACUUAACAAAAGCCAGACUUCACCCCACUGGGUCUCACCCGGAGUGGCACCAGCCUUCCCAACCCUUCUGGGAGGGGUGGCGGGGUGGGCGACCUGGGCGAGCUGCCAACCCACGUGGGCCCUGGGGUGGGGGCCCUGGUGAGAACAGAACCACCAGCCUGUAGGUUCCGAAUCCUUCUCCACACCUCGCCAUCCAGAAAGUGAGGGUGGUGCGUGAACCUUGUCUGAGGCCGGCUCCUCACUUCCAGAACGUUCUUCUGGCUGGCCCACCCUGUUGCAUUAGUUUCUGAUGCUGCAAAAUAAAUGAGUACAAAGUCAGAGGCUUGAGACAGCGCCCACUUACCACCCCUCUGUGUCCAUGAGUCGGGAGUGGGGAGUCUCUCCCACCGCGGUACCAGGGUCCCUCCCAAGCUCCCCUGCUUGUUGACGGGAUUCGUCUCCUUGCAUUGGUGAGGCUGAAGCCCCUGGUUUUGGGGUGGCUAGGCCGGGACCCCUGUCAGCUCUGGGAGGCAGCCCAUGCUCCCUCCGCCGGGGCACCGCAGCCGCCCAUAGCACACUAUCUGCUUUGUGCCCCACCAGCAAACGAGUGGCUCUGCUUUCCUGCCUUCCUGACCCCCCAUUAUGACCUAUAGGUGUCCUCCCAAAUUCCUAUGUUGACAUGCUGAGCCCCCAGGUGACCGCAUUAGGGACAGGGCCCCUGGGGCUGUAAGAUAGUGAGAGUAGAGGCCCGGGAACCUCCUAAGAAGAGACGCAGAGCUGCCUCCUGUCUCUGCUGGGGGGGAGGGGGGGUGCGGAACAGGCGUCUGGCCGCUGGGAAGCGGGAAGCGGGAAGCGGCCCAUCACACAGCAGGCCUGUGGAGCGCCGAUCCUGCAUCCUGCAGCCCCGCACGGGAGAAAUGAACGUGUGCGGCAUGUGCUGUGCUCACCUGGGACACUACCCACCCCCUCCCCGGGU